CAGCAGCAGACUUCUUGUGACACUUAGGUUUAUUAAAUGUCUCUUGUCUCUGUGAGUUAGUAUUUUAUUAUUUUCACCUGAAGAUGUUUUAGCUGAUGUGGGUGCCAAUUAUAAAUGUCCCUGAGGGUGGACUGACCCGUGAGGAAAGGAGUAAGAAUAAGACAAAGCCUGGAGAGAGAGAUCGUAUUUAAGAGGUAGAAGCUUUUCACUAUAUAAACUUUAAGGUUUCAUAUAAAUAAGUGACACAGAAAACUCUUUUUAAUCACACACACACACACACACACACACUCCUACAAGCUCCCUCCUGUGAACCACAUUUUCCACAGAGCAUAUGUUUCAAAUGAAAGGUCAAAAAGGAGAUUAAUGUCAGCGUGGAGUCCCAGGACAGGUGAUCAUUUCUCUAACAUGUUAUGCGGCUUGUUGCUAAAACAGAGUCCCUCCAAACUAAGCUGCUUGCUCAGUGAGUGCCUUAUUCCUCUUUCUCCAGGCCUUGGCCCCUCCCUGUGAUGGGUGAGGAACUCGGCUUAUUCCUGGGGACAGAGGCCUGCCACCAGAGAGGCCAUAGGCUGGAGCAAGGGCUGACUCACAGGGUAGCGAGGAAACGGCCUGGAUCUUUGACCAGGGGGCUGACUUCCGGUGAACACCGUGAACUCCGAACUAUGCCUAAGUGUGCGCUUCCGAAGAACCCAGGCUGGGCACACGGCUUCCUGUGGGGCUCCUUUCCCCCGCCCUUUCAAGCACUCAGAUUAUGCACUGCCCGUGUAACCAGUUCACUGCAUCAGCUGUUUAAAUACUGAAAUCAGCCUUAGUCAUUGCCUGAUAGAACGUUUUACAUCUCAAUUUGAGUUUAUAUUCAGAUUCGACUGAACGACUAACAGUUUCACGUUUUCCCUUUCAGGCCACCCCUCCUAAGCAAUCGCGUUAUGGAUGGGUCCCCAACUCAUACAAAAGUAUCAUAAAACAUUGGGGAGGCUUGUAACACUGCCCUUUAAAGAAAGGAGAGAGCCGACCAUGGAGGUGCCCCUGCAGCAGGUAAAACCAGUGAGCAGCCCACGAGUUGAGGUCCCCCACUGUCUCCUAAAGCUGAAACUCCAGUACUUUGGCCACCUCAUGUGAAGCGUUGACUCACUGGAAAAGACUCUGAUGCUGGGAGAGAUUGGGGGCAGGAGGAGAAGGGGACGACAGAGGAUGAGAUGGCUGGAUGGCAUCACUGACUCAAUGGACGUGAGUCUGAGUGAACUCCAGGAGCUGGUGAUGGACAGGAAGGCCUGGCAUGCUUCGAUUCAUGGGGUCGCAAAGAGUUGGACACGACUGAGCGACUGAACUGAACUGAACUGAACUGGUCUCCCUGCUUAUUAA
rnacentral:lncRNA from 1 species